rnacentral:sRNA from 1 species
AUGCCCGCGCUCUUGUCAAGAAACUUGCCGUCGCAAGCUUUCAGGAUCUUGCUGCUGCAAAUAAUCAAAUUCGUUCAACGUGACUAUGUGGUGCCCGAAAACUUGAGUCUGAAAGAUCUUCUGCGACUCUUUGUUUGCCAAGUAUACUUCGCACAUGGCCGACGAAAACGACUCCCAAAGUACGAUUAUGAUAAGAAGGAUCCGUAUAGCCGCGGAAUCUUAUUCUGGGAGGAGGAAAAACGGCUCGAGUUUCCGGUGCCUCGACCUGCUAUCGAUUCCAUGGGACCACAAGAGCUCCUGCUGACCGCAUUCCGGACAUCGGGAGAACUUCUGGUACUCAGAUUCGUCCGCGCAGACCACCGGCAAGCCGAAGCGAGUAUCCUCCUGAGAGACUCUAAAGGUCGAACGUUCUCAUCGCCGGUCACCGGGGACCGGAAACUGCUGCUUGACAUCAGCCGCGGGAAUAAGUUUCAGGGUGGCGGCCUCCGAAUGCAGUGCAUAGAGCCCAUGAGGAAAUGGCGUGUUGCUUUCAACGGACUGCUCGUGAACAAAAAUACGGGAUCUUCCGCCUACGUUCGCUUCGCUUUCUGGUGGUUUGCUAUUUCCCAUGUGGCGGACUACUCCCGCGAAGUCCCCCCGAAACGAUUGUUCAACUUUUGCCUCGACCCGAAAGUCGACGAGAAGCUCUCGGAAACGGUGGCUAGCAUAGAAUUGUGUCGCGAAUACCUGAAUGGCUACGGGCAGAGUGGAUGCUGCGUGGGAUCGGUGCAAGUCUUGGUCAAAGGAAACCAAAGCAACACCAAGCAAGAGCCAGAACAGGAGCUUCACAUGCGCGGAAAUUUCUUGAGAAUCCGUCACCCGAAACCUUCUCUAACGAGCUCCAUAAGACUCGAAGGCUUCACGCACAGCUUCACAUACAGUACGAAGGGUCAUCUGCUUCAUCUUUCGACGCUAGAGUUCAGCAACGGGAGGAACAUAAUUUUCGGAAGUUUCCUAUCAACUCCCGGUUUCCAAGACCCGAUCGAAACAAUCACGAAUGAGUAUGGAUCAGAAGCCAGCCUAGAAGAUGUCCUCUACGCACCGAAACUCAAAUUCAGUACUUUUGAGCUCUCCCAUGGAAUGCUGAGAUCAGAGGGCUGUGCGCAGAGCAACUUCAGAUCUCAUCUUGGAUGGAACAACCGAGUCCAAGUGUCGACUUUCGAAGCGCUCUUGGACAAUAUACCGGCGAAGGGAUUGACAAUCCAAGGACUGAACGCAGUGCAUACAGACGAGUACCCCUUGAGCGUACCCAUGAAUAUCCUGGAUCACGAUGUCAUGACGAUGCCCCCUCCCUUUGUGGUUAGUCUUGGAGAUCCACAAUGCAAGAACACCGCAUUGACCGGAGGCAAAGGCUCGUCUCUCGCCGUGCUUUCUGAUCUUUCGACGCUUGACGAUGGAUUCUACGAGUUCAGCGUUCCGAAGGGUGUUGUGGUCACAACCGGAGCCUUCCGUCGCUUCAUGCAGUCACCCGCGAUGUAUUCAACAAAAAAGACCUGACCGGAGUUCUUCACGCGACGACAUUGGAGCAGAUCAAGGAGAUCUGUGAUCGGUGCCGAGCAAACGUCGAGGAAGAGCACCUACCAUCUACGAUUGCGGAAGACAUCCUGCACCAUCUGUACGGAAUAUUCCCCGACCUACCCAAGAAACGCUUUGCGAUCCGCAGCUCGAGCGCUGGCGAAGAUUCUGAGGACAUGUCCGCAGCCGGCCAGAUGGAGACUUUCUUAGGGGUCUGCGGGGAGAAACAGAUCCUCGAAUCAGUCCUCAAAUGCUGGGCUUCCCAAUUCAGUCACGUCGCCGUAGAGUACAAGAAACGUUUCGGGCAAGAACUGAUCGGCGAUAUGGCUGUGGUGAUCAUGGAAAUGGUUCCGGCUGACAGCGCGGGCGUAAUGUUCACGUGCGACCCUCUCACAGGAGACCCCUCCUCGAUCUAUAUCACCUCGAAUUUCGGUCUCGGGGAGAGCGUGGUGUCAGCCAUGGCCGAUCCUGACACUGUCCGUGUGAACCGAGACAUCGAUGGGAAGCUCUCCGUGAGUGACGUGACAGUGGGCAAGAAGGGUGUCAAAAUCGUCAUGGACGACAACGGCGGAGGCACCCGAGUGGAGAGUAUCGGAGAUAAUAACUCGUCUUCUCUGAGUUCAACUCAAGCUGCCGUUUUGGCUGGAGUUGGGGUUCAGAUCGAACGUUGCUUCGGCGAUUGGAGAGACGUCGAGUGGGCAUUCGUCCGAGAUACUCUCUACGUGCUGCAAGCAAGACCUGUGACCUUCAUUGACAAACCAUCUGAACUCGAAACGGCCACCGAAUUUGAAGUUCCGGCCAGAGCCGAAUCCUGUGGAUACUCCAGAGCGAACGUUGGGGAAGUAUUACAUGGCGCCAUAUCUCCGCUGUCGAUCAAGUUGUUGAACAGAGUGAUGUCCAUCUCACUUGGGAAAUUCAGAGGCAGGAAUGCUCGGGCGAGACGCUGCGCCUUGACACCCUACUACGAUUCGCUGCUUAGAGUGGCUCGCUACCAAUAUUUCUUCGACAUGUCCGAGGCGCUCCGUACGUUUGUCCCUGAUCCCACGGACAAAGCCCAAGUCGAAUCAUUGAUGCUCAAUUUGUGUGGCCGCAUCAUAGAUGAUGACGAGCUCUACGAGGACAUGGACGACAAAACCGACAAAGAGCCUUACACGCCUUUCUGGUCGAAGAAUAUCGAACUUUUCAAGAUGAAGUACAUGUCGAGACAAAUCCUAACUUUCAACCGAUAUAUGGCUAGGAAGAAAUCAAAAUAUCCGGAGAGCGAUAUGACUACCCGGGAACUAUUCGACGGUCUCAUGCGCGCCAAUAACGUCCUGAUCGAUCACGGUUGUCAUCCCCACUUCCAUGCAUCGAAUGGCUCGUCACUCUGGACCAGUCGCAUCGUGGAGUAUCUACGGGGGAUAACCGACGAGAGUGUGGAGACGAUAUACGGACAAAUGUCCCGACUCCUUGCAUCGGCGGACGACGUCGUCAGUUGCGAGGUACCGAGAAGAUUGGAGAAACUCAGUGCCUUGAUAGGCUCAGAGAUCGGUAAAGAGAAGUUCCUCGACUGCUCGGCUGAGGCCGCACAAGACUUACUGAAAGACGAGGAUCACUAUCCGGAGUCCGUAGCUGAGUUCAGCCGUUUUCUGAAAGACUUUGGACACCGGGCGUACAACGAGCUCGACCUUUAUAGAAAGUCUUGGGAUAUGGACGCUACCCCGGCGAUAACGUCUCUGCAAGCCAUGAUUCGGAGUACAAUGAACGGCGCCCCGAAAGAGCAUGAAAGCAUCUUCAAAUCUAUCCAGGGUAUGGAAUGCAGACUCUCUCCGUGGCAAAAAUGCCGACUGGCAGCAAUCGUUCAUUUCUCGAGGAAAGCCAUCGGCAUCCGAGAGCACACGAAGUCUCUCUGGAUUUGGAGUCAGAAUGUGGUGCGCAAAUGGUCAUGGGCUCUCGCCCGGAGAAUGAAGGAGGAAGGUUUUCUUCCCGACGAGAGACUCCUUUUCUUCUGCACACCCGCGGAGCUCGACGAAAUACUGCGUACUCGCAACCCCGCGAUUAUUUCAAGAGCUUUCGAGAGAAUGAAGUUGUUUCCCGAGAUGGUCAAUCAGGAGUUUCGUGAAUACUUCCGUGGUGUCCCUCGUCCGGACCCGGAGCCGACGCCUGUCUUCGAGGAUGGCGUGGUGCAAAUGAGAGGUUUUCCUAUAAGCAGAGGCAGAAUCCAAGGGAGGGCGAGAGUGAUUAACAAAUCGGAGGACGCCGCUCAGAUCCAGGAUGGAGAGAUUCUGAUCACAAACGCGACAGACAUCGGCUGGUCUCCUUACUUUCCGAUGCUCGCAGGAGUGGUCACGGAGCUCGGGGGCCUCAUGUCCCACGGCGCCGUCGUCGCGCGGGAAUACGGCCUACCGUGCGUGGUAGGCCUCCUAGGAGCAACGAAAGUUUUCCGCUCCGGAGACACAGUGCUUCUGGAUGGUUCUCAAGGUCUAUUGGUUAGGAUCGAAGAGGCGCUGUAGGUCCGAUGCAUCCGACCACACCGUUUCGAGCUUGUUUCUGAAAUAAAAAAAUCCGGACGAAAGUUUGUUCCCGAUGCGUCAAUCUGGAGCAGUUCCAUAGGAUUCGAACGAACCGAGUGUAUUUCGUUCGAGCCACGCUGCGAUUUGCUUUCCAUCGCCGCAUGCCGUCUACUACGUCUUC